rnacentral:lncRNA from 1 species
CUUCUGCGCCAUCUUGUGGCAGUUGAGAGCAGGCCCAGGGCAGAAGGGAGGCAGGGGCAUUAAGAGCUCAGGCCUCCAGCUGAGGGACUGCAGAUGUUGGGUAAGCUGACCCUGGAAUUAACAGGCUCACACCUUGGAGGGGGCAGUCCCAUAGCAGGCUCCCACCCUGCCCUUCAGAGUUGCAGCAGGUAAUGCUGAUGCCAGAACCUUGUCCUGACAGGAAGCCUCUGAUUAGGGCCCUGAACCAAGUUCCUUUUCGCAUCUGCAGACUCAUGGAGGCAACCACUCAAGGUCACUCUGAGAAGGGUUGAACGUGCUUUAUUAAAAGGACUGAGGAUCAUGUGUGUUGGUGUGUCCCGGAGUCUGCUCUAAGGAAGCCUCUGAUUAGGGCCCGGAACCAACUUCCUUUUCGCAUCUGCAGACUCAUGGAGGCAACCACUCAAGGCCACUCUGAGAAGGGUUGAACGUGCUUUAAAUUAAAAGGACUGAGGAUCAUGUGUGUUGGUGUGUCCUGGACUCUGCUCUAAGGCAGCGCACUCACCAGGAGACAGGAAAGCUAGAAGCACCGCUAGGGCCCACCGCAUGCCUUCCUCUCUGGGGCCUUGGAAGGAAAGGGACCAGAUGAAGAGGAGCAGAAGAUCCUCUUAAAACUCAGGCCCCACUCAACAAGGAAGUGAUCCCUAGCACAGAAGACAGUAAGAGGAGCUGGUCUUCCUGAGUCACAGGCAGGGAGAAGUGACUGAG